rnacentral:rRNA from 1 species
CCUACGGGGGGCUGCAGUGGGGAAUAUUGGACAAUGGGGGGAACCCUGAUCCAGCCAUGCCGCGUGUGUGAAGAAGGCCCUCGGGUUGUAAAGCACUUUCAGUGAGGAAGAACGCCUGGUGGUUAAUACCCAUCAGGAAAGACAUCACUCACAGAAGAAGCACCGGCUAACUCCGUGCCAGCAGCCGCGGUAAUACGGAGGGUGCGAGCGUUAAUCGGAAUUACUGGGCGUAAAGCGCGCGUAGGUGGCUUGAUAAGCCGGUUGUGAAAGCCCCGGGCUCAACCUGGGAACGGCAUCCGGAACUGUCAAGCUAGAGUGCAGGAGAGGAAGGCAGAAUUCCCGGUGUAGCGGUGAAAUGCGUAGAGAUCGGGAGGAAUACCAGUGGCGAAGGCGGCCUUCUGGACUGACACUGACACUGAGGUGCGAAAGCGUGGGUAGCAAACAGGAUUAGAUACCCUUGUAGUC